rnacentral:rRNA from 1 species
GAUGAACGCUGGCGGCGUGCUUAACACAUGCAAGUCGAACGAAGCACUUUAUUUGAUUUCCUUCGGGACUGAUUAUUUUGUGACUGAGUGGCGGACGGGUGAGUAACGCGUGGGUAACCUGCCUUGUACAGGGGGAUAACAGUUGGAAACGGCUGCUAAUACCGCAUAAGCGCACAGCAUCGCAUGAUGCAGUGUGAAAAACUCCGGUGGUAUAAGAUGGACCCGCGUUGGAUUAGCUAGUUGGUGAGGUAACGGCCCACCAAGGCGACGAUCCAUAGCCGACCGUGUAGGGUGACCGGCCACAUUGGGACUGGGACACGGCCCAAACGCCUACGGGAGGCAGCAGUGGGGAAUAUUGCACAAUGGGCGAAAGCCGGAUGCAGCGACGCCGCGUGAGCGAAGAAGUAUUGCGGUAUGUAAUGCUCUAUCAGCAGGGAAGUUAAUGACGUUACCUGACUAAGAAGCACCGGCUAAAUACGUG